GCCGCGAGAUGGCCUUCGAGGUCCGGGUGGUCGCCCGUGGCGACGCCGGCCGGGGGGUCUCGGCCGCCGACGUCCUGGAACCGUCGCUCGUGGCG
rnacentral:tRNA from 1 species